rnacentral:tRNA from 1 species
GCCCUGGUGGCACAGUGGUUAAAGCGCUUGACUGCGAACCAAAAGGUCGGUGGUUCAAACCCACCAGGGGA